rnacentral:rRNA from 1 species
GACGAAGGGGGCUAGCGUUGUUCGGAAUUACUGGGCGUAAAGCGCGUGUAGGUGGUUGUCAUAGUCAGGCGUGAAAGCCUUGAGCUCAACUCAAGAAAUGCGCUUGAUACUGGGCAGCUAGAGGACCGGAGAGGAUAGUGGAAUUCCCAGUGUAGUGGUGAAAUACGUAGAGAUUGGGAAGAACACCAGUGGCGAAGGCGGCUAUCUGGACGGUUUCUGACACUAAGACUCGAAAGCGUGGGGAGCAAACGGG